AACGAACGCUGGCGGCAGGCCUAACACAUGCAAGUCGAACGCCGUAGCAAUACGGAGUGGCAGACGGGUGAGUAACGCGUGGGAACAUACCCCUCGGUUCGGAAUAACUUAGGGAAACUUGAGCUAAUACCGGAUACGUCCGAGGUUUUAACCGGUCCUCGGAGAAAGAUUUAUCGCCGGAGGAUUGGCCCGCGUCCGAUUAGCUAGUUGGUGAGGUAACGGCUCACCAAGGCGACGAUCAGUAUCCGGCCUGAGAGGGCGGACGGACACACUGGGACUGAGACACGGCCCAGACUCCUACGGGAGGCAGCAGUGGGGAAUUGUUCGCAAUGGGCGCAAGCCUGACGACGCAACGCCGCGUGGAGGAUGAAGAUCUUCGUGUCGUAAACUCCUUUCGAUCGAGACGAACGGCUUCCGGGUGAACAAUCCGGAAGNGUGACGGGUACCGAGAGAAGAAGCCCCGGCUAACUCCGUGCCAGCAGCCCGCCG
rnacentral:rRNA from 1 species